UACAGAGGGUGCGAGCGUUAAUCGGAAUUACUGGGCGUAAAGCGCGCGUAGGCGGCUUUGCAAGUCGGGUGUGAAAUCCCCAGGCUUAACCUGGGAACUGCAUUCGAGACUGCAUUGCUAGAGUAUGGGAGAGGGAAGUGGAAUUUCCGGUGUAGCGGUGAAAUGCGUAGAUAUCGGAAGGAACAUCAGUGGCGAAAGCGACUUCCUGGACCAAUACUGACGCUCAUGUGCGAAAGCGUGGGAGCAAACAGG
rnacentral:rRNA from 1 species